GAAAGUGCCCAUACUUGUCUAGCA
rnacentral:siRNA from 1 species